GAGUUUGAUCCUGGCUCAGAUUGAACGCUGGCGGCAUGCCUUACACAUGCAAGUCGAACGGCAGCACGGGAGCUUGCUCCUGGUGGCGAGUGGCGAACGGGUGAGUAAUGCAUCGGAACGUAUCCUGGAGUGGGGGAUAACGUAGCGAAAGUUACGCUAAUACCGCAUAUUCUGUGAGCAGGAAAGCGGGGGACCUUCGGGCCUCGCGCUCUUGGAGCGGCCGAUGUCGGAUUAGCUAGUUGGUGAGGUAAAGGCUCACCAAGGCGACGAUCCGUAGCAGGUCUGAGAGGAUGAUCUGCCACACUGGAACUGAGACACGGUCCAGACUCCUACGGGAGGCAGCAGUGGGGAAUUUUGGACAAUGGGGGCAACCCUGAUCCAACCAUGCCGCGUGAGUGAAGAAGGCCUCGGUUGUAA
rnacentral:rRNA from 1 species